GUCACAGUUACAUGACAACCUCUACAAAUUAAGUUCGAAGUGUGUGUGCAAUAGAAUUUCAUCUUUGAUUUCAUCACUGUUAAUUAUGUCAACAAUUAGGAAGGAAUCACGUAAAUUUUUCAACUUUCUGCCAACGGACUGGUCAGUAAACAUUUGGCUAUUGAAUAUCCGCCCUUUCCUAGGAAAAAUCUCUAGCUACGCUCAUGAGCAUCGGCCGAGCAUAGUGGACAUACGUAGAUUUUUGUCUUAUAACAGAUAGUCACAAGGCUCAUUUCAUAUUUUGUUAUUCUACUACAAUUUACAACUGCAGAA